ensembl:lncRNA PPP2CA-DT PPP2CA divergent transcript
GCAGACCGGAUGGAAGCCGGGGCCACUGGCAGCCUGUAACUGGUUCCCCUGGGAAGGCCGCUCUGGUGAUGAACUCAGCUCCUCACCUGGGGCCUGGCAGUCCGAUCACGGAAACGAGAAUUGCGACCCCGUGGCUCAUCUGGGGUGCUGCGGCUCUGUAAUCGUGUGGGUUUCCGUCAUCUUUGGGGGCAGGAACGGGCAGCGAGUGGCCGCUUGGAUUAACCACCCCCACCUCUGGGCGCGGCUGGCACCUUGUAAUUAGGUCACUCGUAGGUGGAGGAGCGUGUACCUACCGGGGGAGUGCUGCGCAGUGCACCUGACUUCCGCGGCACACACCCGUCCCCGGACCUAGGUGUCUCGUCGGGCGCGAUGGCGGGGGCGAGGCUUGGGCUUUUCUUUGGGCCUCGGACCGCGGCUCGCUUCCACGCGCCCCGCUCCUCGCCGGUGGUUGCUUUCCUCCAAGUUUAAUUCUCUCUGGGAAUGAGAGACCCUCAACCCCUGCGCGCCCUGGCCUACUUUCAAGAGGGGAAGCCCAGAGAAGAUGGAUGCACCUGUCCUGACCGCGUCUCGGUGGCGUGAGAAGCAGCUGUGAUACGUGCUUAAAAGAGAGAGCUCGUAUACCCUAGGAUUGGACCUCUGUCUGGUUAUGAAUCGCUUUGGAGUUUGCGAAACGUUUUCACAUUCCAUUGUCCCUGCUUUUACAUAAAUAUCUGGUUCCAUAGAGCGCCAGCUAUAUGCCAGAUCCGGAGGGGUCAUCCAGACGGACCAGGGACCAUGCCCUGGAGCUUGUAUUCUCCCAACAGUACUGGCUGAAGAUGGUUUGGGAUAGGCAGAAGAGAGAUCAUAAUGCCCCCAGGAUUUGAAAGAUAUAGAAGCUUUCCAAAGAACAUUUAACCAUAAAGGGCAAGGCAAGAGCUGAACCUGAUCGCCUGUCUUCCAGGAACCCCACCCUCAGUAUCAGGCAACCCUUCCACACCCAAGUGCUCAGCGAUGCUUGGGAGGAGACUGCUCACUCUGCGGCUCUGAGGGCAUCAUCCCCACCAACAGGCUGAAGAAGGCACUGGAGGCCCCAUCAGCCAAUAGCAGGACUGAAAAUCCUCCUUUAUCCAAGACAACGUGUUUGGCAAGGCCGACUGGCUUGGCCUCCCUAGGCUGGAAAUUGCAAUUCUGCUUUCCCUUCACACCUCCCAUUAGUGUGCACAAAAGAAAGUACCUUAAAUCUACUCUUCUAGAAGUCUUAUCACAUACUUAAUUUACCAGACUGGGAAAAAGACCCUUUAGCCCAAAUUCUGUCCCUGUUUUGCAGUUAACAUCCCCAAACAAUAGAAGGGUAAGAGUUAAGACCAAGUGGAAUGAAUAAGGAAAAAAUCAUCACUUAGUGCCCGUGAUUAUAAAGCCAUACCCAGUGUGCUGUCUAA